rnacentral:rRNA from 1 species
ACGGGAGGAGGAACUAACAGGAUUCCCCUAGUAACUGCGAGUGAAGCGGGAAAAGCUCAAAUUUAAAAUCUGGCGGUCUUCGGCCGUCCGAGUUGUAAUCUGGAGAAGCGUCUUCCGCGCUGGACCGUGUACAAGUCUCUUGGAACAGAGCGUCAUAGAGGGUGAGAAUCCCGUCUUUGACACGGACUACCAGUGCUUUGUGAUGCGCUCUCGAUGAGUCGAGUUGUUUGGGAAUGCAGCUCAAAACGGGUGGUAAAUUCCAUCUAAAGCUAAAUAUUGGCGAGAGACCGAUAGCGAACAAGUACCGUGAGGGAAAGAUGAAAAGCACUUUGGAAAGAGAGUUAAACAGUACGUGAAAUUGCUGAAAGGGAAACGCUUGAAGUCAGUCGCGUUUGCUAGAACUCAGCCUUGCUUCUGUGAGGUGCAUUUUCUAGUGAACGGGCCAGCAUCAGUUUUGGCUGCCGGACAAAGGCCUUGGGAAUGUGGCACCUUCGGGUGUGUUAUAGCCCUUGGUCGUAUACGGUGGCUGGGACUGAGGAUCUCAGCACGCCUUCAUGGCGGGGGUUCGCCCACCUUCGUGCUUAGGAUGCUGGCGUAAUGGCUUUAAACGACCCGUCUGAAA